rnacentral:rRNA from 1 species
AUACGGAGGGAGCGAGCGUUAAUCGGAAUUACUGGGCGUAAAGCGCGCGUAGGCGGCUUUGUAAGUCGGAUGUGAAAGCCCUGGGCUUAACCUGGGAAUGGCAUUCGAUACUGCAUAACUAGAGUAUGGUAGAGGGAAGUGGAAUUUCCGGUGUAGCGGUGAAAUGCGUAGAUAUCGGGAAGAACACCAGUGGCGAAGGCGACUUCCUGGAUCGAUACUGACACUGAGGCGCGAAAGCGUGGGGAGCAAACAGGAUUAGAUACCCCGGUAGUCC